GAUGAACGCUGGCGGCGUGCCUAAUACAUGCAAGUCGAGCGAACGGACGAGAAGCUUGCUUCUCUGAUGUUAGCGGCGGACGGGUGAGUAACACGUGGAUAACCUACCUAUCAGACUGGGAUAACUUCGGGAAACCGGCGCUAAUACCGGAUAAUAUUUUGAACCGCAUGGUUCAAAAGUGAAAGACGGUCUUGCUGUCACUUCUCGAUGGAUCCGCGCUGCAUUAGCUAGUUGGUAAGGUAACGGCUUACCAAGGCAACGAUGCAUAGCCGACCUGUGAGGGUGAUAGGCCGCACUGGAGCGGAGACACGGACCAGGCUCCUACGGGAGGCAGCAGUAGGGUAUCUUCCGCAAUAGUCGAAAGCCUUACGGAGCAACGCCGCGUGAGAUAUGAAGGUCUUCGGUUCGUAAAACUCUGUUAUGAGGGAAGAACAGAUGUGUAAGUAACUGUGGACAUCGUGACGGUACCUAGUCAGAAAGCCACGGCUAACUACGUG
rnacentral:rRNA from 1 species